rnacentral:lncRNA from 1 species
UCUGAUUAAUUCCAUUAUUGAUAGUUCGCUUCCUCACGCUUACUGAUAGGCCUACAUCCUGGAAAUCACGUCUUGAGAUUCUUCUUCUGUCCUCAUCUUGCCUCAUUCUCAACCAUGACAUUAUCCAGACGCGGAACCUCUCCAUACGAAUCAAGUCAAGCACGGCAAGUUGCGAACUGAUUGGUGGCGAUGGGGUAUAGAGCCCCUCCAAGUUGCUCAAUAUUCAAUUCACUGCGAAGGAAAAACUAAACAUAAAAAAUAUUCCUUGAAGCACUUGUAACACAGACAGUUUGUCCAGUAAUUUUGCUCAACGCUAUCUACAAUCCUCAAACUGGAACUUAAACAAACACCUUGUCAUGUAAUUUUCAACUACAAGUAAACGAGUAAAGAAAUACGAACAUUGCAUUUUGUUCCAGAGAAAUUCUUUAAAUCAACCGGAACAUAGUAACAAUCAAUGUCCUUGUACAAAGCUCCUGGACAUCAAGCAAUUAUCAGCAAUUUCUUUACCUGAAAACAAAAUGAGAGAAAAUUGACUGAAAAAGAAACUGAACUCACCACUCCUACUCAAGCAUGAGAUCGACUAGCUUUUUGCAGCGCCUAUCUAUGCAACUUAGUUGCAUUUUUUCUUCUUAACUAUUCUGCAAUUUUUUCUGCAUUACUUUGCCAAGAAAAUGUCAAGCUGCAGAGAAUUGCCUGGCCCAAGAACAGUUAGGCUUUCAGAAUUUCUUUUGGUUUGACUAGGACGGACUCUGCAACCACUGACAGUCUUGCUUUUCCAUCUUGACAUCUAGCAUUAUUCCACUCAAGAUUUCUCACAAUUCAUGCAGAAUCACACAUUAAUAUCGAAAAUCCAAGGUUUUAUUGUCCAUACCAUCAGCCUAACAGCCUAAGCAAGUUAAGAUGCAUACCAAGAACAAGCAGAAAAUUUUUCCUUGGGAAUUACCAUCAGUACUAGAGCGACUAUAUGCUACUGAGCUUAAAAGGUCCCUUAUUUCCAACA